CAAUGACAGUUUGGUUUCAUUCACAGUUGACAGUUUUGCACAAACAUCUGUUCAAAGCCUGGAUCUGCCCAGGUAAGACAUUCCUAUGCCUCUGAGACAAAGGGAAGACUGUUGUGAAGCCAUGGACGUUAUUGGAUGAGGGAUAUUUUCCUGACGAGGGUCUAAAGUGUGAAAUUCUGUUCACAGUGAAGAACACAGUGCUCUCCGAUAAUUACCGACAUUUGUACCAGACCUUUGGUGAAGCUUGUGCGUUCGAGUCAGUUUACUCUAUGAAUAACAUGUCACACAGUCUGGACGCCGGCCCAGAAUCUGAGAUAUGAUACUGUACGUGUUAACGGCCUGUCCUACCCGGUGGGUUGGCUCCCACCAUGAGACUCCUCUGCUCAACUGCACACAGGACCUUCUAGCUCACUGUCACUGUGAUUAUAGGGGGUCAAAUAAUUAUGGGGCGAAGGAAAAAGGAGGAAGAAGAGGUGGGACAGAUAAAGAGGAGAGAGUGAGCAGAAAGUGAAGGGAGGGCCAGUGGAUAUUUAUAGAUAAGAUCAACCAGCGAGGGGAACAAAACAUCCUGUCAGCCAUUUAUGUUUCAACUUCCUGUUCACAGCCUGCAUGUGGGAUGCAGCAGCUAGAUACCUUCUCCUUCAUUCAAGUCAUUGAAAACUAUAUGAUGUGGCUAAAUCAGCAGGGCUGGAACGAGUAUCCAGUUAUUCAGAUAUUCAUAAUGUGCUCAUUAAAAAUUGAGUAUGAAUAUUUAAGACGUCCAAGAUCGCUAAUUCACGAUCUAUAUAAAUUAAGUAGAGCAUAGUUAACAUACAGUUCAGGCUCAAUGUUUUUUGCUCUAAAAUUCAGAAUUAUGCCUUAAAUCUAAAGUAUAAACAAACAAACAAAAAAAGCCGAAUGCGAAGCACUACAGUCACCAGAAGUAAACAAGCCUUGAAAAUAAAGUGUAAGUAAAGCUUCCUUCCAAUUUUCAAAGUAUAACAAUCAAGUGUCUUUUUGUAGUUAAAAAACGAGACUGAAGUUGCAUUUAUUGAUAAGUUCUGAAAAAAAUUGCUUUGACCCUCACACCGCAGCUUUAGUUCUAGAUUUGACAUUUUUUUGAUUAUGGUACCUCUUCAACAGAUGAUACAAUUUCCGUAAUUGCAGCAGAUUCUGAAGUGGAGAAAAUUUGCCUCAUGCUGAUAUUCAGCACUGCACAGCAGUGAAAUGCUUAUGUAAUCACAGUCAAUCAGCUGGUUCUACCGCAGAGAGAAAAGCAGCUUUUUAUACCUGCACUGACAUGCAAUGCCUUAGAAAGUGUUAAACUUGAGGAGUAUGUGUACUAUAUAUAAGUAUUAUACAGUAUGUAUUUUAAAAUGUACUUGUGUCUAACGUGCUCUUCUGAAAGAGGGGAUCCUAAGGUAUAUCCAUGCCAAAUGUGCCUCUUGCACCACAAAAUGUACAAUUACUUUAUUAACCGGCUCCACUAUAAAACAUCCCAGCUGUGGAGAAGAUGUGCUUUGAAGAAUGGACCUAAACAGCAACUACACGGCAAACAGGCUGAAGACCUACAGCUUCGGGAAACCUUUGACCUCUGUCAUUGAAACCGGGGUUACAUUACAAAGUAGUGAGCUGCACUUCAAUUAUUGACCAAAUCCUUAUUUUCUGGGAGAGGCUGCAGAGACCCAGCUCAGGAUGGAACAGAUUCACAUCAUAGGUGUGUGAAAAUGAACAUGCUGUUAUUAUUGGCAUAUUUAGCAACAAUUAAGCUUUCACUAAAUUGUUAAAAAAAGUUGCAAACAAAACCAAAGUAGAGUCAAAGAGUUUCCUGUAGUAAAGAGCAAUUAUUACCAACUAAACGUGACUCAUGACUACUAACUUCUAGUCAUGAGUUCAUCUUAUCUCGACUGAUGCAUCUCAAUCGCAGAGCGCAGCAGCAGUCCACCUGAGCAUUAGCGCACCUGACACUAAAGUUAUUUGGCUUCAACAAUUGAGAUAUUUAAGGACAAAUGUGUAAGUAAAAGUGAGGAUGCGGUCAUGCGACCUGUUGGUUUGUCCUAUGCUGAUUUGAAGCUAAAGUUUCAGCUGCAUCCCCUUCUUCAGCAUUAAUCCUGGGCCUUUCCAAAAA